rnacentral:rRNA from 1 species
AGAAUCAACGCUGGCGGCGUGCCUAACACAUGCAAGUCGAACGAGAAAGUGGAGCAAUCCAUGAGUAAAGUGGCGACCGGGUGAGUAACACGUGACUAACCUACCUUCGAGUGGGGGAUAACCUCGGGAAACCGAGGCUAAUACCGCAUAACAUCGCAAGAUCAAAGCAGCAAUGCACUGGAAGAGGGGGUCGCGGCUGAUUAGCUAGUUGGCGGGGUAACGCCCACCAAGGCGAAGAUCGGUA